rnacentral:misc_RNA from 1 species
UCCGGUUUGGCACCGGCAGUCUCCCUAGAGUUCCCACCAUUACAUGUUGGCAAAUAACGAUAAGGGUUGCGCUCGUUGCGGGACUUAACCCAACACCUCACGGCACGAGCUGACGACAGCCAUGCAGCACCUGUGCAGAGGUCCCGAAGGAACUCUCCAUCUCUGGAGAUUGCCUCUGCAUGUCAAGCCUGGGUAAGGUUCUUCGCGUUGCAUCGAAUUAAACCACAUGCUCCACUGCUUGUGCGGGUCCCCGUCAAUUCUUUUGAGUUUCAGCCUUGCGACUGUACUUCCCAGGCGGUAUACUUAACGCGUUAGCUCCGGCACAGCCAGGGUUGAUUCCGGCUACACCAAGUAUACAUCGUUUACGGCAAGGACUAC